ACAGAAGUUAACAAAGUCUGUAAAAGAAACGAGAAGCUUCAGCUGAGGAUGGAUUCCGCAAAAAUUUAAUUAAAUACCAAAGUUCAAGGAUUAACCAAUGGAAAACUUAGAUGUAUUGGUAUCUCUCAACUGCUACCGCCCUUCUGUUUCAGAGUAAUCUUGUCGCCUAAGCUGAGGGCAAUUCCCUGAGUUUUACUCCUAAUCCUGAUGUAACCGCUGAGCUUCCCAUCCGUUGCCUGCUUCUCUAUGCUAACAUUAACCAAAGCAUCCUCCCCAAACACACUCUUUGCAUACAGAUUAGCCGCAAGAAACCCGCAUUCCCCAUCCAAUGCAGAUGGUGGGGUGAGACACUUCAUGUUUGUUGACUUGAUGAUGUGAUUCAGAAACUCCUUCUCAUCCUGAAUGACAGUGUUCACAGCAACCUUGUUUUCCCACUCA
rnacentral:misc_RNA from 1 species